UGAUAAGAGACAGCAGCCGCCGCGGUAACACGGAGGGUGCAAGCGUUAAUCGGAAUUACUGGGCGUAAAGCGCACGCAGGCGGUUUGUUAAGUCAGAUGUGAAAUCCCCGAGCUUAACUUGGGAACUGCAUUUGAAACUGGCAAGCUAGAGUCUUGUAGAGGGGGGUAGAAUUCCAGGUGUAACGGUGAAAUGCGUAGAGAUCUGGAGGAAUACCGGUGGCGAAGGCGGCCCCCUGGACAAAGACUGACGCUCAGGUGCGAAAGCGUGGGGAGCAAACAGGAUUAGAGACCCCUGUAGUCCCUGUCUCUUAUAA
rnacentral:rRNA from 1 species